CCGGACGUUUGCGUCCAGUCUGGAUCCUCUCCUCUCUUCAUUAUUGGGGUCGUGAUCGUGCACACAGAAAAAUGCACCGAUUCUGAUCAAAGCUGAGACGAGGACGCAUGACUUCCGUGCCGUGCCCUUUUGUUGGGGGCGGGGUGGGGACUCGAGCUAAUUAAAAAUUGGGUUCAUGGGCGGCAUUCAUUUCCUAGUUCACUGACUUUGAAUUUUUUUUUUUUCUCGAAUACCGUGCUUAAAGUGUUACUGUUACCUGCAAGCCUGUCUACACAGUGCAUGGACACUUCGACCCGCCUUACUACUCGGCCCGAAACCGGAUUUGUCCGCUCGGUGAAUGGAUCUACAGCUAGUAGACAAUGCACGAUCUCGGUAUUUGGUAUUUUGCAUUAUUCCACGGCAGCAAAACAAAAGCAGUCUUCUCAUCGCUGGUCCCAACACAAAAAGCAUUUUAACUAAACUUUUCCCACCCUCCCCCGGCCCUAAAAAAAAAGAAAAGAAAAGAAAAAGAAACUUGGGGGUGUGUGUGCGUGGAUAGUGCACACACUACUCAAGAUAAGUGAUUUCCCAUUGAGUUUGCAGCUCGGCGUUCAAUGCGUAGUAACUUUCCCUACCGAGGUUCACUGCGCAAUUCGGCUUUAAGGCUGGCAGCCGACUGCAGCCUGCAGGCCUUUGCCGCAAACGCGGGGAGCGGCCAGUCCCCAGCUGGGUUCCCUGCAGAGCGCCUCUUCCCCGCCCCCUCCCCGGGCGGCACCCGCGCUCGGCUUCGCGAACGUGAAGUCAGCGCGCCCUCUGCCGGCCGGCGCCUGCCCGGGCGGGGCGGUGGGGGCAGGGCGCCCGGAGCCCGCGCCGGGAGGCCUCCAGCCACCCCCCAUCCCCCCCGUGGGGGUCCUUUCGCGCCCACCCGCGGAGGGCCCGGGCCGGGAGGAGGCCGAGCGAGUGGAGGGAAAGUGCUUUCAGAGGCGUGCACUCCACCGCACGGGAGGCGGAGGAGGCUAAACCCGGCUGUCCUCGCAAGUGAACUUCGUCCUGAGGGGAAGCAGCGCUCUUCAUGGGACACGUGCGAGAGUCCACAGGACUUACUGUUCCACAUGUCUGCCAUUUUAUAG
rnacentral:lncRNA from 1 species